CGAUGGGUAGCCGAGCUGAGAGGCUGAACGGCCACACUGGAACUGAGAUACGGUCCAGACUCCUACGGGAGGCAGCAGGGAGGAAUAUUGGGCAAUGGGGGAAACCCUGACCCAGCAACGCCGCGUGAAGGAAGAAGGCCUUCGGGUUGUAAACUUCUGUGACGGGGGACGAAAGAAAUGACGGUACCCCGAGAGGAAGCCACGGCAAACUACGUGCCAGCAGCCGCGGUAAUACGUAGGUGGCGAGCGUUGUCCGGAAUCACUGGGCGUAAAGGGCGCGUAGGCGGCAAUUCAAGUCGCAUGUGAAAAACCAGGGCUUAACCUUGGGGGGUCAUGCGAAACUGGAUAGCUUGAGUGCAGUAGAGGAAAGCGGAAUUCCUGGUGUAGCGGUAAAAUGCGUAGAGAUCAGGAGGAACACCGGUGGCGAAGGCGGCUUUCUGGGCUGCAACUGACGCUGAGGCGCGAAAGCGUGGGGAGCAAACAGGAUUAGAUACCCUGGUAGUCCACGCGGUAAACGAUGAUUACUAGGUGUAGGGGACGCAGGUUCUCUGUGCCGGAGCUAACGCAAUAAGUAAUCCGCCUGGGGAGUACGGCCGCAA
rnacentral:rRNA from 1 species